rnacentral:rRNA from 1 species
UACGGAGGGUGCAAGCGUUAUCCGGAUUUACUGGGUUUAAAGGGUGUGUAGGCGGGUCUAUAAGUCAUACGUGAAAUCCCUCGGCUUAACCGGGGAACUGCGUCUGAUACUGGAUGGCUUGAGUUCGGGAGAGGGAUGCGGAAUUCCAGGUGUAGCGGUGAAAUGCGUAGAUAUCUGGAGGAACACCGGUGGCGAAGGCGGCAUCCUGGACCGACACUGACACUGAGGAGCGAAAGCCAGGGGAGCAAACGGG